rnacentral:rRNA from 1 species
GAUGCAGUGUACCCGCGGCAAGACGGAAAGACCCCGUGAACCUUUACUAUAGCUUGACACUGAACAUUGAGCCUUGAUGUGUAGGAUAGGUGGGAGGCUUUGAAGCGUGGACGCCAGUCUGCGUGGAGCCGACCUUGAAAUACCACCCUUUAAUGUUUGAUGUUCUAACGUGGACCCGUAAUCCGGGUUGCGGACAGUGUCUGGUGGGUAGUUUGACUGGGGCGGUCUCCUCCUAAAGAGUAACGGAGGAGCACGAAGGUUGGCUAAUCCUGGUCGGACAUCAGGAGGUUAGUGCAAUGGCAUAAGCCAGCUUGACUGCGAGCGUGACGGCGCGAGCAGGUGCGAAAGCAGGUCAUAGUGAUCCGGUGGUUCUGAAUGGAAGGGCCAUCGCUCAACGGAUAAAAGGUACUCCGGGGAUAACAGGCUGAUACCGCCCAAGAGUUCAUAUCGACGGCGGUGUUUGGCACCUCGAUGUCGGCUCAUCACAUCCUGGGGCUGAAGUAGGUCCCAAGGGUAUGGCUGUUCGCCAUUUAAAGUGGUACGCGAGCUGGGUUUAGAACGUCGUGAGACAGUUCGGUCCCUAUCUGCCGUGGGCGCUGGAGAACUGAGGGGGGCUGCUCCUAGUACGAGAGGACCGGAGUGGACGCAUCACUGGUGUUCGGGUUGUCAUGCCAAUGGCACUGCCCGGUAGCUAAAUGCGGAAGAGAUAAGUGCUGAAAGCAUCUAAGCACGAAACUUGCCCCGA